GGUGGAUGUUGAGUCACCACCGUUGGAGAUCCUUGUUUUGUAUUGUGAUUCGACGCGAGCGGUUCCUAGGAAAUGAUCCUUCCGAAAAAUAUAUUCCCACCAAGAGGCUACACCUCAAGCUCAUUCAGAGUCGGCGAACCCGUCACACUGAUGUUUAAUGUGCUAGAGUUGUAAUUACCAAUCUCGCUGCUCCCCAUUCGGUCUCCUCUGCCCGGCCGAUACUCAAAGCUCGUUUGAAGAAUAUCAAAAUGCCAGAGUCGAUGAAUAUGCUCACCGAUGGUCCCGCGAUACCUCAGCAGAUCGAGCCCCUCACGACCUGGUGCUCCGAUCCCAAAGUUGUAUUCGGCAUCGCAGGCGCAUUCCUUGUCGUCAUGCUCGUCCUGUGCAUCAUUUAUGAGAAGCUCAAAUUCCGGAGACGGGUAAUCCCUGUCGCGCCGGCAACGACCGGAAUUUUGUGAGCGAGAGCGACUCCUGGAUCUACACAUUCGUGAAGACGAUUGAUGGCCCAUUCGAGACGCCGAGAGCCACCAUCGAGUCGCUAGAAGAGCGAACUCCCUCCCCUGAAGAAUCCGGUGGUAAGGAAAAGAGAGCUGACGCUCCCGAGCCCACAUGAGACAGGAAGCUCCGUCGAAGAAAUCGUGCCCCACACACGUACAUGCCUGGAGUGUUGAGCGGAUAUGUUCCCUUUCGAAUCUUCGAAAUAUCAUGGGGGAUGUAUUUUAGAAUUCCCGCUGCACUCAAAGCUAUGAUUCUCGAUCAUAUAGAGUUCGAAUUCCGGAACUCGUCAUUUGAUCCCGUUUUAACAUUGGAAUGGAGAGAUUGUCUUAUUUAAUCUGCAGAUGCAUUCAUUAUUGAGAUCUUAAUAAAUAUAUCCAUGAGAGGAAU
rnacentral:misc_RNA from 1 species